CAAGUCCGGGCAGCGGGCGCACGCAGGCGUGACGUCACUCGACGCGACGCGUAGCGUACCGGGUGACCGUCACGUGACCUGGCGAGGCGGCGACCAUGGCCGUCCCUCUUUCCCCCACGCUGGUGCUGGGCGAGGCCUCGGAGAGCGACUCAGAGCCGGAGCCGGGGGGGAACACAGCCGGGACUCCCGCAGUGGGGCUGAAGGUUCCGGGGGAGGCGUCGGAGACCGAGGAGGAGGAGGAAGAGGACAGUGCGGCCCGGAUGCCGCUGCCAGGGGUGUCCAGGGGGGGCCCCUCACUGCUGCAGCAGCGGCUGGGGGCGGGCGAGGGGCGACUGCGGGGCGCAAUGGCUGAGGCACUGGGACGCAGUUUCAGUGGGGCUGCGCGGCUGCUGGAAGGUCUGGGGGGGCCCCUGGGCCACGCCCAAGCUGGGGCAGCUGCGACCGCGCACUGCCUGUGCCUGGUGCGCCGUGACCUGCGCGCUGUGGCUGCCACCGUAGCCACCAUCACCGCCUGUCACCUGCUGCCUGACAUCCUGGGGCUGAAGGUUCCGGGGGAGGCGUCGGAGACCGAGGAGGAGGAGGAAGAGGACAGUGCGGCCCGGAUGCCGCUGCCAGGGGUGUCCAGGGGGGGCCCCUCACUGCUGCAGCAGCGGCUGGGGGCGGGCGAGGGGCGACUGCGGGGCGCAAUGGCUGAGGCACUGGGACGCAGUUUCAGUGGGGCUGCGCGGCUGCUGGAAGGUCUGGGGGGGCCCCUGGGCCACGCCCAAGCUGGGGCAGCUGCGACCGCGCACUGCCUGUGCCUGGUGCGCCGUGACCUGCGCGCUGUGGCUGCCACCGUAGCCACCAUCACCGCCUGUCACCUGCUGCCUGACAUCCGUGGGGAGCUGUGAGAGUGGGAAUGUCUGUGGGAGGGGGGGGGGGGGCAGUGCUGGCAGCUGUGGGGAGCUCCUGGCGUUGUUGUUGCAGUGUCACUGACACUGACCUUCAGCACUGUGUCCAAUGGACUCGAGGGUUGUGGUUGUCACUGAUGACAUUCUCAUUGUCACUGCAUUGCCAGUGCUGUGUCCCCUUGAGCUGAUGCUGCCAUCAACAGCACUGCCGCUGAUCGCUCAG
ensembl:lncRNA